rnacentral:rRNA from 1 species
AGAGUUUGAUCCUGGCUCAGAAUGAACGCUGGCGGCGUGCCUAACACAUGCAAGUCGCACGAGAAAUCUUUAGCUUGCUAAAGAUAGUAAGGUGGCGCACGGGUGAGUAACGCGUGGGUAAUCUACCUUCGAAGCGGGGAUAACAUUGCGAAAGCGAUGCUAAUACCGGAUAAUAUCCAGAUAACUCUGGUUUUCUGGAUCAAAGGUGGCCUCUACAUGUAAGCUACUAUUUGAAGAUGAGCCCGCGUACCAUUAGCUAGUUGGUGGGGUAAUGGCCCACCAAGGCAACGAUGGUUAGCUGGUCUGAGAGGAUGAUCAGCCACACUGGAACUGACACACGGUCCAGACUCCUACGGGAGGCAGCAGUAAGGAAUAUUGGUCAAUGGACGAAAGUCUGAACCAGCCAUGCCGCGUGCAGGAUGACGGCCCUAUGGGUUGUAAACUGCUUUUAUAUAGGAAGAAACCUCACUACGUGUAGUGGGCUGACGGUACUAUACGAAUAAGCACCGGCUAACUCCGUGCCAGCAGCCGCGGUAAUACGGAGGGUGCAAGCGUUAUCCGGAUUUAUUGGGUUUAAAGGGUGCGCAGGCGGAAUGAUUAGUCAGUGGUGAAAUCCUACAGCUCAACUGUAGAACUGCCAUUGAUACUGUCAUUCUUGAGUACAGUUGAAGUAGGCGGAAUGUAUCAUGUAGCGGUGAAAUGCAUAGAUAUGAUACAGAACUCCUAUAGCGAAGGCAGCUUACUAAACUGUAACUGACGCUCAGGCACGAAAGCGUGGGGAGCAAACAGGAUUAGAUACCCUGGUAGUCCACGCCGUAAACGAUGAUCACUCGUUGUUGGCAACACAUCGUCAGCGACUGAACGAAAGUAUUAAGUGAUCCACCUGGGGAGUACGAUCGCAAGGUUGAAGCUCAAAGGAAUUGACGGGGGCCCGCACAAGCGGAGGAGCAUGUGGUUUAAUUCGAUGAUACGCGAGGAACCUUACCUGGGCUUAAAUGCUAAACGACAUUCCGAGAAAUCGGAACUUCCUUCGGGACGUUUUGCAAGGUGCUGCAUGGUUGCCGUCAGCUCGUGCCGUGAGGUGUCGGGUUAAGUCCCAUAACGAGCGCAACCCCUAUCCUUAGUUGCCAUCAGAUAAUGCUGGAGACUCUAAGGAAACUGCCUACGCAAGUAGUGAGGAAGGUGGGGAUGACGUCAAAUCAGCACGGCCCUUAUGUCCAGGGCUACACACGUGCUACAAUGGUCGGUACAGAGGGUCGCUACCUGGUGACAGGAUGCUAAUCUCGAAAACCGGUCUCAGUUCGGAUCGAAGUCUGCAACUCGACUUCGUGAAGUUGGAUUCGCUAGUAAUCGCAUAUCAGCAAUGGUGCGGUGAAUACGUUCCCGGGCCUUGUACACACCGCCCGUCAAGCCAUGGAAGCUGGGGGUACCUGAAGUCCGUGACCGCAAGGAGCGGCCUAGGGUAAAACUAGUAACUGGGGCUAAGUCGUAACAAGGUA